rnacentral:lncRNA from 1 species
GUUGGUGCAACGGUUGGAUGCAUUCUGACUCUUUGUAUUAUAUUACUUGACUUCUCAUUUGCUCGGUGCUUGAGAUGAUUCUAGUUUUAUUUUUCUCAUUCGUGCUCUCUUUAUUCUUCUCCUUGAAAACUGUUGGUUUUUGUUUGUAAUCUUUGGUCUCUAGAUAUUUCUACUGAAAUCUAGUGUAAAUUACUUAGUGGAAGGGAUGAUUUUGUUCUUAGUUGAGCAAUAACUUUUGGUUACUUUGUGUAAUUAGUUGAGGAUAUUUUUGAGAGAAAAAAGGGCCCAAGGGUUAGAUCUGAUGGAUUUUUGAGUCAUGAUUCUUGUACCAAUAAUUUUUUACUGGUUUCUAGUGGAUUAGAGAGAUAACCACUUUGGUGGAUGUUCAACAUAGUGAUUAAUCAUUUUGCGUGAACAUCCGGGCUUUAGUUCAAAAAGUGUUCUUUAAUUUUUUGCCAUUAAUUUUGGUUUUCUGGGACUGUUAAUACCAAUAGUGGUAGCAAAGCUAUUUGAUCUAUUUAAAAUCCCUCGAUCUGGUUUCUGGUGUUUCUGAUGCUCAAAACCCUAGAGCUUUACAGAUCUAUAUUGUAAAGGGUUUAAUCUUCAUUUUUGUGGAGAAAGUAAAAUAGUUUUGAUAUUUACUAUUUUACACUGUCGAUCAAGAUUCUUUGGCAACAUGUUUCUAAGCCUCUCUUUAUCUCUUAUUAGCACUUGAUUUUUUAGAUAUUUCUUGGACCUACUAGUUGAAUCUACUUUAUCUAAGGUUUCAUGCGAGUAUCCUAGAAUAUGAGGAAACUAAGAUUAACGAUUUCUUCAAGAUUAUCUUGAGUUCUAUUUUUUUUUUUCGAAAGUUGUAUAUUUCUGUGGUUUAUUUAAUUGGAGUUACCUAUCUCUCUGCUUACAAACUUCAGUACAUUUGUGUUAAUAAUUCCUGCACAUUAACACUCUGCAUAUGUACAUUAGUUGAAAAUUUUUCUUCCGUACUUUGUACUUCAAUCUUGGUAUUGUUUUUUGAAAUCUAUCAAAAC